rnacentral:rRNA from 1 species
CCUACGGGAGGCAGCAGUGAGGAAUAUUGGUCAAUGGACGCGAGCCUGAACCAGCCAAGUAGCGUGAAGGAUGACUGCCCUAUGGGUUGUAAACUUCUUUUAUAUGGGAAUAAAACAGGGUAUGCAUACCCUCUUGUAUGUACCAUAUGAAUAAGGAUCGGCUAACUCCGUGCCAGCAGCCGCGGUAAUACGGAGGAUCCGAGCGUUAUCCGGAUUUAUUGGGUUUAAAGGGAGCGUAGGUGGAUAGUUAAGUUAGUUGUGAAAUUUUGCGGCUCAACCGUAAAAUUGCAGUUGAAACUGGCAGUCUUGAGUACAGUAGAGGUGGGCGGAAUUCGUGGUGUAGCGGUGAAAUGCUUAGAUAUCACGAAGAACUCCGAUUGCGAAGGCAGCUCACUGGACUGCAACUGACACUGAUGCUCGAAAGUGUGGGUAUCAAACAGGAUUAGAUACCCUAGUAGUC